rnacentral:misc_RNA from 1 species
CACGUUCUCUGUCCAUCUCUCUCUCUCAUUCCCUCUCCCACUAGAGCUCACACAGGUGCCUCUCCCUAUCUCCUUAUUUGUUUUGAGUUGCUCGUGUUUUUUUACCCUCUCUCCCCCCUCCCCUGCGGCCCUCAUUGUGCUCGUCGACGCUGUCUUUUGUAUUUUCUCCCGUCCUUACCUCAUUUCACCCUCUCCCCAUCCCUCACGCGCACCCACCCGCCUCGCACAAACUUUUGCACACGUGCAGACCGUGUUUUGUUGCUCCGCGUGCGCCAGGACAUCUCAUAGUCGCCGAGCGCACGUGUCUCUACGUCUCUCUCUCUGUUUGCGCCUGCUCCCCGAUUCUCUCAUCCCAGUGCCGCCAUGUUAUCUCGUGAGCAGAGCCCCAGCAUCAUGAUCGACAGUGAGGUCAACUCACCGACCAGCUCGCCCACCCACAGCGAGCGCAAUACCCGCAACGGCGCCGCUGCACCGACAUCCACCAAACGUGAGAGCAUCGCGCACGACGACCUGGCCGCGGCUGAGGGACCACGCAACGGUAUCGUUCUGUCGAAGAACGGAUCGCGCGUUCCCAGCCAGACCAACUCGAUCGACGCCGCGAAGCCACGCACGGCGUCGAUUAACAGCAACGGGGCACUGCAGCCGACGGUGACGGUGCCUAAUCUGCACCUGAGUGGCUUGCAAGCCCAGCUGCGUGCAGCCAGCUCCACCGGCGGCGCCUCUGCUUCCCAGGCACGCACUAGCGGAGCUGCGGCGCGGUUAAGCACUGCCAGCGCUGCCACCCCGGCCCCGUCCGCUGAAGGCGCCGCUCGUCCGCUGUCGGUACCUGUGGCUCGGCCUGCCGCCACUGUGUCUCAAACCCCGUCCGCGUCGAUGCCGCGUGCGACGUUCAUGUCGGGGAGCAUUCGCCGCACCGGCGGCAGCGCUGGCUCGAAGGCAUUCAUGCCGCGCGUAAUCACGGCGGCGCCGGACUACACCGCGUACCCUUCCGACGUAUCCAAGUACCUGAAGGACGUUAUUCGCCGGCGUGAGGAGGCCCUGAUGUUCAAGUUGUUGCCCACUGCCCAGCUGAUGGACCAGGCGGUGCUGCAGGCGCAGGCAGCCUACGAGCUGAUUGUGCAGCAGGAGGCGCUCGAGUUUCUUCAGAUCUGCCACAAGCGCAAGGAGGUGGAGACGAAGCGCAGGGAACAGGAGUGCAUGAAGGCGAAUAAGGAGAGGAUGGAGGAGCAGAAAAGGCAGCACAAGGAGGAGAUGGCGCAGCAGAAGAACGACGUGGCUGCGAUGGCGAAGCAGACGGAGACGGAGAUCAAGGAAAAACUGAAGACGCUCGUAUCGCUGCAGCCGAAGUUGAACAUUGUGUCAGCCGUCAUGGCCCAGCUGCAGGACCCGGCGAGCGACUGCGCGCUUCUGGGGGCGCUCAUGAUGGAGGAGAAGCAGCUGCAGAAGACUCUCAAAGGAGAUGCGCGGUACAACAAGUCGAAGACAGCGGAAACGGACGGCGGCGCAGUGCCGUACUGGUGGAAACAGUGCGUCUGCUCCUCCUUUAACGUCUCAGCCAUGCUGAGGCAGGAGCCGCACCGCGCCAGCAUCGUCGAUGUGUCCUUUGCCACCAAGACGUCUGCCGACAAGAAGGUCAUUGUCGUGAAGGAUGGGGAGGGCAACAUCGUCGCGUGGGCGCACACUCGCAGCGGCCCAGACCCGAACGCCCUGGCGGAGGCCUACUUGGCUGCGAAGCCGGAGGUUCCCGAGCUGCCGGCGAACGCCUACAAGGGCGUGCUGUGGCCCAAGGAGGAUGCGGCGGACGUGAUGCGAAAGGCGAAGGCCGCCAAGAGCCCCACCGCCGACAUUCUUCCCGAGGUGAUCACGAUCCUCAGCUACAGCGGCAUGGGCUCGUUCGAGAUGUCGAAGAAGGACGUUGCCGCGGUGGGUGAGGCAACUUCCUAGUUGCAGAGACGAGUGACGCAUCCACCCCUUCGUCGCCCUAAGACCAAUGCGUUCUCUUUUCGCGUCUCUAGAUGUCGGAAAAUGCCAUUGCUCUCUUUCUCCGUUAGAUGGCGUGCGACUUGUUGCACCACUUCUUAGGGAGUGCGUGUGUGUGUGUGUGUGUGCCGCUCCCCUGGCUCUUCUUACCCCCAAAGCAUUCAAAAAAAAACGUUCACAUCAACACAGAGAAUGCACACACGCGUCCUCCCCCCUCCUCCCCCUCUCUCUUCCGCCCUUCGUAUCUUCUCGCGAUCGCGACGCAGGCAGGCGCCUGCACACGCCGCUCUCGCUUUCCUUUUCCUUUAAGGGUUGUGGCGUCUUCCUUUCUUAUCUAUUCUCCCCGUUUCACUUGUCUUGUUUCUUCAUUGUCUGUCUCCGUCCCCGUGGCGAUGUGUGCACGGGUGUGUGUGCUGUGGUGCCCUUUCCUCUGCGCCUCUGUCCUUCAUCCGCUUGCGCUUCACCUAACUUCACCCCUUAACCCCCACCACCACUCUACCCUCCCCUCACCUUCGCAGACACCACGAGGCCCUCACUUGUUUUUAUGCUUUCCUCUAUGAAGUGAGCCCUUUCUUCGUGUGCAACUUCUCGCACGCUCGAUUUCCGUUUCGACUUCCUAGCCCUCCUCCCCUCCCACUAGAGAAGAGACUUGCUCUGUGUGCACACGUAUGCGCGGCUUCUGGUGUGCGCGCCCACCGCUCCAGCUCCGGUGUCGCAUGCGUAUACAUAUAUAUAUAUAUACACACGUGUGUGUGUGUCUGGCUUCAUCUGUUCACCAUGUUGAUGUCGCGUUCCCUGUUUCCCCUCCUCCCCCCCUCGCCUUCGCUUCUGUGUUUCCGUGUGCAUGAGAGAGCUCGAGGAGCCCCACCCCCACUCCCACACCGCCUUUUACGAUGGACCCAUGGCCCGUGCGCGUAUGGGGAAGGAGGGUGGGUGGGGAAGAGAGAGAGGCGGACCGACAGAGCGGCUGAAAAGGUGAGGUGGUUGGAAGCGCCCACGCACGAUGUUGGCGGUGGCUGCCUUCGCGGCCAGUUGUCGCUCACAUGAUCGUCUCUGUGUUUUCCUUUGUAUCGUCCUUUUCGUUAGAAUACAGAUCAGCCCGCAUAACCACGCAACAGCAGCGGCAGCGGCCACAAGGCAGAACACAGACAAGAACGUACAGGGUAGCGCAGUAGGAGAGGCGGCGGCGAGGGAAGCGGGUGAAAUGAACGGCAGCAAGAAAUCGGAAGGCGCCUCAAUGUUCAGGGUCGACAUCUCUCUGCUUGUCUCGCUCCCUUCUGUUCUCCGUGGCGGCUCUUUGCGGCCAACUCGUGCUGUGCGCAUGGCGUCUUGUCUUUCCGUUGGCUGUUGUUGUUCACCUUUCACGUUGUUUCCUAAUUAUUAGUCGCUUACACCCGUGCCGCAUACUAUUAUGUGUGUGUGUGUGUGUGUGUGUGUGUGUGUGUGUGUGACGCAUGAUGAUGGCCGGGCGCAUGCAACACCUUCAACGCAACCGGAAAAGGGGGAGCAAGAGAAAGGACUUGUAUGAUCGCCGUGGUUUCUUGUAGGGAGAGCACUACACAGGACAGUGAGGGCGCCGAAGCAAGUGACGGCGGCGGCAGGGAUGAAAGACGAUGGUUAACGGGCGCCGGAUACCUGUGUGAGAAAGCGCGUGGCAAGGGCUGCCUUGCGCGCCUUCCUGCUUCUCUCCCCGCCCUACGCCACGCUGCACCUCUCCCCUCCGCCCUCCUUCCGCGUCCACCCCUUUCACACAGCCCGGGACUUGAUCAUAAUGUGAAGCGCAUCAGAAGGGCAGCCCCCAUCUGACUAGAGCCAACAGCGGUACGCUGCUCUCGCCCGUCCGCCCCGCGGUACUUCCGAUCUCCCAGCCCCCACACCCCCUAACUGGCAUUCAUCAGAGCGUAUGUACGUCUUUGCUUCACACACAGAGGCGCCGGCCACUUCCAUUUGCCUCUCCCCUCUUUCCUCCCUCCCUCAUGCGCCGCUGCACUGCCUCACACGCAG